AGAGUUUGAUCCUGGCUCAGGAUGAACGCUAGCUACAGGCUUAACACAUGCAAGUCGAGGGGCAGCGGUAUCGGAAGCUUGCUUUCGGUAGCCGGCGACCGGCGCACGGGUGAGUAACGCGUAUCGAACCUGCCUCAUACUCGGGAAUAGCCUUGCGAAAGUAAGAUUAAUGCCCGGUGUUUUCAGAGUCCCGCAUGAGGCUUUGAACAAAGAUUUAUCGGUAUGAGAUGGCGAUGCGUCCCAUUAGCUUGUUGGCGGGGUAACGGCCCACCAAGGCAUCGAUGGGUAGGGGUUCUGAGAGGAAGGUCCCCCACAUUGGAACUGAGACACGGUCCAAACUCCUACGGGAGGCAGCAGUGAGGAAUAUUGGUCAAUGGGCGAGAGCCUGAACCAGCCAAGUAGCGUGCAGGAUGACGGCCCUAUGGGUUGUAAACUGCUUUUAUAAGGGAAUAAAGUGAGUCUCGUGAGACUUUUUGCAUGUACCUUAUGAAUAAGGACCGGCUAAUUCCGUGCCAGCAGCCGCGGUAAUACGGAAGGUCCGGGCGUUAUCCGGAUUUAUUGGGUUUAAAGGGAGCGCAGGCGGACCUUUAAGUCAGCUGUGAAAUACGGCGGCUCAACCGUCGAACUGCAGUUGAUACUGGAGGUCUUGAGUGCACACAGGGAUGCUGGAAUUCAUGGUGUAGCGGUGAAAUGCUCAGAUAUCAUGAAGAACUCCGAUCGCGAAGGCAGGCAUCCGGGGUGCAACUGACGCUGAGGCUCGAAAGUGCGGGUAUCAAACAGGAUUAGAUACCCUGGUAGUCCGCACAGUAAACGAUGAAUACUCGCGGUUUGCGAUAUAGUGUAAGCCGCCAAGCGAAAGCGUUAAGUAUUCCACCUGGGGAGUACGCCGGCAACGGUGAAACUCAAAGGAAUUGACGGGGGCCCGCACAAGCGGAGGAACAUGUG
rnacentral:rRNA from 1 species